UUCCUUUCCAAGACAGCCUUGACCAGCCUCCCGUCCCGAUGGCUGCUCGCGAUUAGCACCCGCGCCGAUCGGAGGGCCCUGCGCGAACCGUUUCCUGCGCGCAAUGCACCCGAUAGUCAAUCCAGUCGUCGAAGCUGGCGUCAGCGGUACGACAGCCCGACCAACCGCCGGGCGCCACGUCUCGCGUCUCCACCGAGUUCGAACCUCAAGCGACCGUCGUUGCCCGGAUCUAAGUUGAAUUCCGCAUCUUUUGUUCUUGCAGUGUUCUCGUACUGGAAAUAUCGGUUUCUUUCUGGGUCUUAGAAAGGUUGUCUGUAUAGAGAAGAUAACUUGAUUGUUUGAUAGAGUUGGUGAAUUAUGGUCUUUGGUUGUGUCAAAUCUUUAUUUGUAAUUAAGGGGACGUGAUUUGAGGUUUUUUCCUGUCCUCAUCCGGAAUUAGAACAGCAAUUCUAAGUAAAAAUGGAUGCGGGAGUUUGAAACACCGCACCCUGCGGACAUAAUUCUCUGGUAAUCGUACCCAAAGGUUCUUGAGGGAUUGCAUGGAAUGAAGAUCAAAGAUGAUGAGGUUGUGAAGGAAAUGCGAGCGGCUGUCAUGGAUGAGGAUGGGAUGAAACUGGCCAUGUUGUAGUUUUGACCAUUGGGGUCGAAAUGGUCAAGCCAAACAGGUUCUUGGAACACCAACUCGUGAAGAAACUAAAUGUGUGAACCCAAACUAUACUGAAUUCAAGUUUCUACAGAUUAGGGCUUAUCUCCAGCACAAAGUGAGUCCUCUGCUUUAACCAUGUUGACCUUUUGUUCAAAUACUUGUCUAUUCCUUUAUCCUAAAUUUAAAUGCAUAGCAUUCAGUUUUUCCUAAAUUAUAAAGAUGGAGUUAUACACCCUAAAAUUCAGUUAUUCCAAUAGCGCACACCCCCCUGAAGAAAUCAUUCUUUAAAUCCUUAUUUGAGAGGUGUGAUCAAUGAGUUCUCAAUGGAAAGAAAAGAAACCAAGGGUUACUUUCGUAUAUUUUAUGGAUGAUCUGGAUGUAUUUUACCUCCAGAUUUGGCUUCACAAAGUUCCAUCUGUCUUUUUCCUUUGUGGUGUUUCGUUCUCCUUUCCAUUUUUAACUGAUAAAAACUGCAAAGCCAAAGUUCAGGUCCAAAUGUGAAGAGCAGUAUGUGAAGACUUGUUCAAGAGCAGUUAUUCUUAUCCCCUGAAAGUUGGGCAUUUAGCAACUAGAGGCCUGCGUCCACCCAUCCUUUGAGGAGCUUCGUGAUCCUAAUGACCGUCUCCCACCCAAAUGGGAGACCAUUGCUACCUCUCUUCCACUUCAUACCUCAAAGGACACAAUCAAUGCUACUAAACCUUUCGGUCACGAGUGAUUGUAAUGGUUCGGACUAGUGUAACGAUUUGCUGCUUUCCGGUUUUUGUCUCAACUUUGCAGGACUGAGAGAGGGGUAAAACCCCUUUGAGCUGCAGACAAAAAUUAAAUCCAGAGCGUGCGAGGCAGCAGUCUCCCUUCCUUGGUUUGUAGGCUGCAAACACUUGGGUUGAUGAUUGUGCUCGCUGAUUCUGCCAAAGUCAAAUCGAGCUUGUCGUGUAUAUGUGAUAGCUAGUGUCUAUAUUGGUCCAUAUUCUUUACAGGGUUCUUGGCUGCAUUUGCACUUGUUUCUUUUUUAGCUUUUUUUUUUUUUAAUGGUAAAUACUCCACAUGUUUAAAUAUUACAUAUCGCUUUAAUUCGUAUGUUCUUUAUAUACAUAUGGUCUUCCUCCA